rnacentral:piRNA from 1 species
UGAGAUGUUGGAAAGCUGGAAGGCCUCGGU